UACGUAGGGUGCAAGCGUUGUCCGGAAUUAUUGGGCGUAAAGGGCUCGUAGGCGGUCCAUCACGUCGGGAGUGAAAAGCUGGGGCUUAACCCCAGUCCUGCUUCCGAUACGGGUGGACUAGAGGUAGGCAGGGGAGAACGGAAUUCCUGGUGUAGCGGUGAAAUGCGCAGAUAUCAGGAGGAACACCGGUGGCGAAGGCAGCUCGCUGGGACGUUACUGACGCUGAGACGCGAAAGCGUGGGGAGCAAACAGG
rnacentral:rRNA from 1 species